GCCCGGAUAGCUCAGUCGGUAGAGCAUAAGACUUUUAAACUGAGCGUCCAGGGUUCAAGUCCCUGUUCGGGCG
rnacentral:tRNA from 1 species